rnacentral:misc_RNA from 1 species
CGCUCCCAUCCACCUGUAGCGCGAGGGGUAUGCCCUAUUACAUUGUGUGAUGUUCAGGUUAAUGUUUGUAAUGAACAGGAUAUUAAUCAGGUAUCUCAAACAGGUAAGUUUGUAAUAAAUUAGAGUAGUUCGGCUUUGUCAAUACACUUACAUAGUUCGCAAUAUCAGGGCAGAGAGCACAGCCUAACUGACCUCCACAUUUCCCAGAAAUGAAACCGAAAGCGGGUGUGCUUCUUUUCUUAGAAGUCGUCUUGAAUAUCUAGCGUUCCCCUCUUACAUAACGACCGCUGGAAUGGAUGGAGAGUGUGCCCAGGUAACGGAAGUUCCCUGCUGUCAUCGACUUAAAUGUGGGUGGUCGUCAUUUGACAACCUGCCUAUCCACCCUCACCAAGUACCCUGACUCCAUGUUGGCCGCCAUGUUUAGUGGAAGGCACCCGGUAGCCAAGGACAAAGAUGGAC